UACGAAGGGGGCGAGCGUUGUUCGGAAUCACUGGGCGUAAAGCGUGCGUAGGCGGCGGUGAAAGUUAGGAGUGAAAGCCCCAGGCUCAACUUGGGAAUUGCUCUUAAAACUACAUCGCUAGAAUACCGGAGAGGAUAGCGGAAUUGUCAGUGUAGCAGUGAAAUGCGUAGAUAUUGACAGGAACACCAGUGGCGUAAGCGGCUAUCUGGACGGUUAUUGACGCUGAGGCACGAAAGCGUGGGGAUCAAACAGG
rnacentral:rRNA from 1 species